GAAGUUUAUGAUCAUGGCUCAGAUUGAACGCUGGCGGCAGGCCUAACACAUGCAAGUCGAACGGUAACAGGAARCAGCUUGCUGYUUYGCUGACGAGUGGCGGACGGGUGAGUAAUGUCUGGGAAACUGCCYGAUGGAGGGGGAUAACUACUGGAAACGGUAGCUAAUACCGCAUAACGUCGCAAGACCAAAGAGGGGGACCUUAGGGCCUCUUGCCAUCGGAUGUGCCCAGAUGGGAUUAGCUAGUAGGUGGGGUAAWGGCUCACCUAGGCGACGAUCCCUAGCUGGUCUGAGAGGAUGACCAGCCACACUGGAACUGAGACACGGUCCAGACUCCUACGGGAGGCAGCAGUGGGGAAUAUUGCACAAUGGGCGCAAGCCUGAUG
rnacentral:rRNA from 1 species